rnacentral:rRNA from 1 species
AGCGAACGCUGGCGGCAGGCCUAACACAUGCAAGUCGAACGAAGUCUUCGGACUUAGUGGCGGACGGGUGAGUAACACGUGGGAACGUGCCUUUAGGUUCGGAAUAACUCAGGGAAACUUGUGCUAAUACCGAAUGUGCCCUUCGGGGGAAAGAUUUAUCGCCUUUAGAGCGGCCCGCGUCUGAUUAGCUAGUUGGUGAGGUAAAGGCUCACCAAGGCUACGAUCAGUAGCUGGUCUGAGAGGAUGACUAGCCACAUUGGGACUGGGACACGGCCCAAACUCCUACGGGAGGCAGCAGUGGGGAAUCUUGCGCAAUGGGCGAAAGCCUGACGCAGCCAUGCCGCGUGGAUGAUGAAGGUCUUAGGAUUGUAAAAUCCUUUCACCGGUGAAGAUAAUGACUGUGACCGGAGAAGAAGCCCCGGCUAACUUCGUGCCAGCCGCCGCGGUAAUAC